rnacentral:misc_RNA from 1 species
CGCACAUUGCGCCCCUUGGUAUGCCGAGGGGCAUGCCUGUUCGAGCGUCAUUAUCACCCCUCAAGCCCUCUAGGCUUGGUAUUGGACUCUGAGUCACGGUUUGGCCCGUGACUGGUCUCAAAGAUAGUGACGACGUCCCAGAGGGAACCGGUACGAGGAGCUUUUUGUUAAGCAUGUACGGGGAAGACUCUGCGGACGGCGGUCUCAUAACCAUUGAUAAAAAUCAAGUGUUGACCUCGGAUCAGGUAGGAAUACCCGCUGAACUUAA